rnacentral:rRNA from 1 species
UGAGUAACCUGCCCUUCACUCUGGGAUAACUCCGGGAAACCGGGGCUAAUACUGGAUAUGACUCGAACAGGCAUCUGUUUCGGGUGGAAAGAUUUUAUUGGUGGAGGAUGGACUCGCGGCCUAUCAACUUGUUGGUGAGGUAAUGGCUCACCAAGGCGACGACGGGUAGCCGGCCUGAGAGGGCGAUCGGCCACACGUGGGACUGAGACACCGGCCCAGACCUCCGUACGGGGAGCA